CAGGGGUUCUGAUGACUCUGUGGAGGAAUGGAUCACAUGUGGUCGCAUAUCUGGUCCAACAGCUUCAGAUUGUGCCCAAAUAGUCAUCAGAGAGAGGUGUUACGACUCGACUUGACUCUUGAUUUCUCCACAAGCCCUAUAUUAGACCCCAACAUCAAAGGUGUCAAUCAGCUGAUCGCGCCACUCGACUUCGGCUUGGGCUUGGACGUGAGGCACAGUACACAGCACAGCGUCAGCACGGCACGUCGAGUAUUGGAGCACACGGCCACUGUCACCCGGCACCCACACCAGGCAUUCGCCAUGAACAUCCUAAGACCACUUCAUCGCCUUGCAAUGGCAAGGAAUGUUGCACAGCAAGCACCUCUAGCCUUAGGAAUGGCAGCCCCAUCAACCACCAGAAAUCUUGGCAUGAUUCCCAUUGUGAUAGAACAGACAGGGCGGGGAGAGCGUGCAUAUGACAUAUUUUCACGCCUCCUAAAAGAACGGAUUGUUUGUAUCAUGGGGCCAAUAGAUGAUAACAUUGCCAGUUUGGUUAUUGCUCAGCUCCUCUUCCUGCAGUCUGAAAACACCAAGAAACCCAUCCAUAUGUAUAUAAACAGCCCAGGAGGAGUUGUGACAGCAGGACUGGGGAUCUAUGACACCAUGCAAUACGUGCAGCCACCCAUAGCCACCUGGUGUGUUGGCCAGGCUUGUUCCAUGGCUUCCUUGCUGCUGGCUGCUGGAUCCCCAGGCAUGAGGCACUCACUCCCUAAUGCUCGCAUCAUGGUUCACCAGCCUCAUGGUGGAGCGCAGGGUCAGGCCACAGACAUUCAGAUACAGGCUGAAGAAAUCUUGCGAUUAAAGGAGAAGUUGAAUGGUCUAUUUGUAAAGCACUCAGGCCUCCCUCUAGAAAAACUUGCCCCAAUGAUGGAGCGGGACAAGUUCAUGAGUGCAGAUGAAGCCAAGGAUCUGGGUCUCAUCGAUGAAGUGCUGGCCAGUCCUCCAAAGGCGGGAGAAAAAGCAUCACAGAGCUCAGAAUGACUGUCACUCAUGGCGGACUGAAGCACAGCACACCUCACGAGUUAAGAUCAAGGCCAGCAUAGAGUGUGGUGGGUGUUAAUUGCAUACAGUGAAUGCAUGUGUACCCAUUGAAACAGUUGGGCAACAUGCAUUUAUUUGUUGCAGGAUAACAUCCAGACAAAAAUAAGGAAAACAAGAAAAUCUUCACUACUUCUCUCUUACUUUAAGUGAAUAAAUUUCCAGAGGAGAGAAUCCCAUUCUUGAACACCUGCCCCUGCUUCAUUAUUCCUUCAUGACAUAUACAGAAUAUAGACUUUUGAAACAGAAAGAUGAGAACUGCCUCAUAGUCUGUGAUUCAUACAGAAGUUAAUUCCAUGAUAAAUAUUGUGAAAAGCAAGAUCUAUUUUACCUUUGAUUAUCAUUAUACUAACUGAGAUAAACAGUGAAGGAGAUCUAAUGAAAUAUGAAAUUGAAGAAUAAUGAAGGAAAAUAAGCUACAAAACAGGUACUAAAUGAAUUGUUAUAGGAAUUGAAAAAUGUGAUAAACCAAGAAGUAGUAAUAAUGUGUACAUAUGAAAGGACAGUAAAAGAGAAUAUGAGUGGGAUAACAUGACGGAAAGCAAGUUAUAGAACCAAUUAGAAACUUGAGCACCAGGCAUGGAUGACAAGGCAGCUGAAACACUGAAGUGGGGAGGGGGUUUUACACCUGAUCUGCUGCACCACACUUGUAGUUUGGUUUGAGGAUUGGAUGAGGUUUGCUAUAACCCCAGUAUGAAAAGAAAAAUUAGACAAUUAUAACUUGUAAUAACAUACAAAUGUGCAUGUAAAAAUUUGAUAAUUGUAUACGGAUUAUAAAAUCUAAAGAAAAAACCUUAAAUGUAUAUUUCAUACUACUACUAUUUUUUUUUUUUUUAUGUAUUAUUAUUGGUCAUUAUUUGUUAUUAUUGUUAUUAUUUUAUUAUUUUAUUUAUUUGUAAUCUUUUAAAAUCAUUUAUUAAUCAUUUUAUUUACUUAUUUAUUUUAUUGAUUUAUUUACUUAUUUAUUUAUUCAUAUUUAUCUAUUUUGUUUAUUUGUUUUUUUGUUUUUUUUGUGGCCUGAACUGUUUUAUAUGAGUCUUAAUCUGGCUUGAACUGUAGUGUACUCAGGAUGUAUAUAGUGUUUGUGUAAUUUCUGAAUUGUGACAUUUUUAAUAAAUGAUUUUGUAGUCCCUAUAAAGUGUAAUUAGAUUCAGUUUAGCAGUACCAUUACUGAUGUAGCAGGUAAAACUGAUACCCUUGGCAAUGCCAUUGGCAAUAAUCAACAAUUUUACUUUUGCAUCUUGGUCAUGUAUGUAUAUGGUAAAUACUGUUUCAUUACAACUAAAUUAUCUUUUAUGUAAUUAUAUCAAAUUUGGAUGCCACCACUUUGCAGGCAGACUUGGACAGGAUGAAUGAAUGGACAGACAGACGGCAGAUUAACAAAUGCAAAAUACUUAAUGUAGGUAGGAGGAACCCACACAGUAGGUAUACAAUAAAGAACAAAGUUCUGGUAAGUUUAAAGAAUGAAAAAAUUUAGGAGUUAUAGUGAACUCUGAUCUCUGUCUAAAAAAAGAAUGCAUGGAGGGCAAAAAUAAAGCAAAUUAUGUAUGUACUAGGAUUAAUUUUUCUCUCUCUCUCUCUCUCUCUCUCUCUCUCUCUCUCUCUCUCUCUCUCUCUCUCUCUCUCUCUCUCUCUCAUUUUUUUCCUUUCUCCCUGUUUCCUCCUUGGGUUAUACUUGUCUUUAUUCACAUAAUUUAUUAAGAUGGCUGAAAGCAUAAGACAGGUAUGUUUGCCUAUUCAUGGACUUAAUGUAAUGGAGCAGGCUUUGUGCACCAUGCAGCACAACCUUCCCAUCUCUAUGCCUCUCAGAGGCUGACUGGCGGAGGUCUGUACGCCAUGAAACCUCAACCCAGACUUACCACAGUGCAGUACAAUAAGUUUUUAAAUUGAAUUUAAAUUCUAACCUAGUGUCUCAGAAUAAACUGCUACAGCUUCUUGAGUAUGUCAGUGGUCAGUAUGUCAGGGGAAACUAGUAAUAUUCUGCCAGAUGUAUAGGUCAGGUCAUUGUCCAUUGUUAUCCAGUACUUUAUGGACCACUCACCCCAUUUUGUCAUCAGCUCUGAGGUCUUGUCAAGAUUGCCCAGGUUUGUCACUUCAAAUUGGAUCCCCUUAUCACCACCUGUUAUCACUAGGGUACUGUCUAUUACCUUUUUGGCAAAUAUCAAGGAGUAGAUAGCUUUGGCUUCCUUCUCUGGGUGAAUUAAAAAUCUGGCACCAUGAAAAUGUUCAUCACUGUCACUAGAGAAAGGUUACAUUAUGUUAGGAUCAUUAUGCCCUGUUGUAUUAUGAAACAUCAGUUAAGAUUUUAUCAUUACUGGCAUUUCCAGUAACAUCACUUCCAAAGCUAAAUACAGAAAAAUUCAGUUCCCCCAUAGCAUUUUCACAAAGUGGUCUCUCAUAAGGAGUUAGUCAAAAGCCAGCCCUCCUUAGCCAACAAAUCAGACAUGGGAGAAUCUGGAACUGCAUGUGUAAUUAUCACUGAAACUUUGGUAAUAUACUGUGUGUAACUCAGAGAAGGUAAAGUGUCCUAGAAUUCCCUGCAGCUACCGGAUUGCCAUCAUAUAUAUGUGAUUAAGGAUUUAGAGAAUGACCUCCAGUGGAAUAAGAAUACAGAAUACAUGAGUAUAUAAGAAAAAGGGAUGAAAGGCAUCAUGAACAUGAAAAGAUUAGAAUAAAUGUUGACUUUUCUGUUGCAGCCAUCCCCUUUAGGAAAAGGUGUCUGAUGUAGACAAUGUUUCAAAUAAAAUGAGUCUACACUGCAAAA